rnacentral:rRNA from 1 species
AUUGAACGCUGGCGGCAGGCCUAACACAUGCAAGUCGAACGAGCGGCGGACGGGUGAGUAAUGUCUGGGAAACUGCCCGAUGGAGGGGGAUAACUACUGGAAACGGUAGCUAAUACCGCAUACCAUCGGAUGUGCCCAUAUGGGAUUAGCUAGUAGGUGGGGUAAUGGCUCACCUAGGCGACGAUCCCUAGCGGGUCUGAGAGGAUGACCAGCCACACUGGACCUGAGACACGGUCCAUACUCCUACGGGAGGCAGCAGUGGGGAAUAUUGCACAAUGGACUGAAGCCUGAUGCAGCCAUGCCGCGUGUAUGAAGAGGGCCUUCGGGUUGUAAAGUACUUUCAGCGAGGAGGCGUUACUCGCAGAAGAAGCACCGGCUAACUCCGUGCCAGCAGCCGCGGUAAUAC